rnacentral:rRNA from 1 species
UACGUAGGGGGCAAGCGUUGUCCGGAUUUAUUGGGCGUAAAGAGCGUGUAGGCGGCCAUGCAGGUCAGCUGUGAAAACUCGAGGCUCAACCUCGAGACGUCGGUUGAAACCACCUGGCUAGAGUCCGGAAGAGGAGAGUGGAAUUCCUGGUGUAGCGGUGAAAUGCGCAGAUAUCAGGAAGAACACCCGUGGCGAAGGCGGCUCUCUGGGACGGUACUGACGCUGAGACGCGAAAGCGUGGGGAGCGAACAGG